CCCAAGGAGCUGCCAAUACUUGCAGAGCAGUAGUAGAGGGUUCAGUGUGCAGAGAGGCAAAUCUUUUCUUCACAGAUAUUCUCAAAGUAUAAAUAAAAAGGCAUAUAAUUGUGAGAAAGUGAAGUAAUCAUCUGGUUACAUCUAUCAAGCUAUUUACAUAACCCAAUUGCUAGACUGUAGUGCCUGGGUGUCUCAUACUCAUCAUUCUGACAACAUCCCUCUGAACUUUGCUAAGAGGCAGAAUGCACUAACACAUCCCUGAGCUUCAUGAAAGUCUCUGCAUCAAGUGAAGUUUACUAGCAGAUCACAAGGAUCUGUAAAGCAAAAAGUUGUUCAGCAUAGAAAAUACACAAGGUGACUGGUGUCAUCACAAAACUGCAGAUGUGAACAAGUAUGACUCCAAUGAUGGGGAAUGAGUUCACUUCAAAUACCAAAGGGAUAUUUCAAAGGCUAUUAAAAAAAUCAUAUAAAACUUCUCACAUCUUUUUGUCUUGAUCACUGAACAUGAGACUAGCAGACUUUGGUAUGGGUUAAGGAUGAAAUGUCCCAAGAGUUGUAAAGGGAUUGCUCUCAUCUUAGGUUUUCAGGAGAAAGAACUGACCUGGUUCUGGGAACAAAAUCCAGGAUGGGAUUUACAACUGAGAAUCCCAUGGAGAGUUAUCUGCCUAACUGCUAGCAGUGGCUGAGGUCUUGGUCCUCUUGUUAGUUUUUCAUCUGAGCUUGCUUAUGUGAUCUCUGAGUCUGUGAAUCCUGCUGCUGAGCACUUCCUGACUCCAUGCACUUUAUGGGGAGCCUGUGUGCCUAACUUGGAUCUAAGGGCCUCACUAAAUGUCAGGCAGGACACCUGACAGGUAGGUACUGCAAUAUCUAAGUCUCCUUGUAGAUUUUGCCUGAAGAUCCUCCCAAAAUAAACAAACACCAAAACCAGCAAAGAAACAAUUAAUGAGUCAAAAGGAGAUGGCAAGAGCAUGUACUGCUGCAUCAGUGGCUGUGAGAAUCUUAUGCCUCCAUGAAAGUGGUGAAAGGAAAAUCUAGGCUGAAUAUCCAGAUAACUACUUAGGCUGAUUUUCCAUGCAGUACAAUCUAUCAGACUGUGAAAUAGGCUCCCAAGGGAAGUGAUGGCAGCUCUAUCACUUGGGUAAUAUAAUUGCUGUAUUUUGUGCCUUUGGUAAAGCCUGAGAGACUUUCUCUGAAUGAAUCUGAAUCAGAAUAUGCCUUUCUAGUGAAAACAGAAUACUUAAUAAAGCUACCCGAAUAUUGA